rnacentral:rRNA from 1 species
AUUGAACGCUGGCGGCAUGCUUUACACAUGCAAGUCGAACGGUAACAGGGUGCUUGCACCGCUGACGAGUGGCGAACGGGUGAGUAAUGCGUCGGAACGUGCCGAGUAGUGGGGGAUAACGCAGCGAAAGUUGUGCUAAUACCGCAUACGUACUGAGGUAGAAAGUGGGAGACCUUCGGGCCUCACGCUAUUCGAGCGGCCGACGUCUGAUUAGCUAGUAGGUGAGGUAAAGGCUCACCUAGGCGACGAUCAGUAGCGGGUCUGAGAGGAUGAUCCGCCACACUGGGACUGAGACACGGCCCAGACUCCUACGGGAGGCAGCAGUGGGGAAUUUUGGACAAUGGGCGAAAGCCUGAUCCAGCCAUGCCGCGUGUCUGAAGAAGGCCUUCGGGUUGUAAAGGACUUUUGUCAGGGAGGAAAUCCUUAGUGCUAAUAACACUGGGGGAUGACAGUACCUGAAGAACAAGCACCGGCUAACUACGUGCCAGCCGCCGCAGUAACAC